rnacentral:rRNA from 1 species
GACGAACGCUGGCGGCAUGCCUAACACAUGCAAGUCGAACGCCUGUAGCAAUACAGGAGUGGCGCACGGGUGAGUAACGCGUGGGAACCUGCCCUGGAGUGGGGGAUAACCGAGAGAAAUUUCGGCUAAUACCGCAUACGUCCUGAGGGAGAAAGAUUUAUCGCUCUAGGAGGGGCCCGCGUCGGAUUAGCUAGUUGGUGAGGUAACGGCUCACCAAGGCGACGAUCAGAGCUGGUCUGAGAGGAUGAUCAGCCACAUUGGGACUGAGACACGGCCCAAACUCCUACGGGAGGCAGCAGUGGGGAAUAUUGGACAAUGGGCGCAAGCCUGAUCCAGCCAUGCCGCGUGAGUGAUGAAGGCCCUAGGGUGUAAAGCUCUUUUGUGCGGGAAGAUAAUGACGGUACCGCAAGAAUAAG